UACGUAGGGCGCAAGCGUUGUCCGGAAUUAUUGGGCGUAAAGAGCUCGUAGGCGGCUUGUCACGUCGGAUGUGAAAGCCCGGGGCUUAACUCCGGGUCUGCAUUCGAUACGGGCUAGCUAGAGUGUGGUAGGGGAGAUCGGAAUUCCUGGUGUAGCGGUGAAAUGCGCAGAUACCAGGAGGAACACCGGUGGCGAAGGCGGAUCUCUGGGCCAUUACUGACGCUGAGGAGCGAAAGCGUGGGGAGCGAACAGG
rnacentral:rRNA from 1 species